AACGAACGCUGGCGGCAUGCCUAACACAUGCAAGUCGAACGAGACCUUCGGGUCUAGUGGCGCACGGGUGCGUAACGCGUGGGAACCUGCCCUUAGGUUCGGAAUAACUCCCCGAAAGGGGUGCUAAUACCGGAUAAUGUCUUCGGACCAAAGAUUUAUCGCCUUUGGAUGGGCCCGCGUUGGGUUAGCUAGUUGGUAGGGUAAAAGCCUACCAAGGCGACGAUCCAUAGCUGGUCUGGGAGGAUGAUCAGCCACACUGGGACUGAGACACGGCCCAGACUCCUACGGGAGGCAGCAGUGGGGAAUAUUGGACAAUGGGCGAAAGCCUGAUCCAGCAAUGCCGCGUGAGUGAUGAAGGCCUUAGGGUUGUAAAGCUCUUUUACCCGGGACGAUAAUGACAGUACCGGGAGAAUAAGCUCCGGCUAACUCCGUG
rnacentral:rRNA from 1 species